rnacentral:lncRNA from 10 species
UCACAUGCAGUUGGAAGAAAUAAUACAGAUAUAUCUCAUGGGCUAUUCACCCAAUAUCCACCAAUGGAAAAACUAUAACAACGCCAAAAAAAUCAAACACCACAAAAUCACAAGUAACAUGCUGACAUUGAUAUAAGCAAGAUACCGAAUAGUUUCACUACCACAAGGAUCCCUCAUGUUGCACUUUUAUAGCUGCACACAUUUUUCUCUUAUCUUCACCUUCUCCUUAACACCUGGCAGCCACUAAUUUGUUCUACAUUUCUGCAGUUUUGUCAUUUCAGGAAAAAUACAUAAAUGGAAUUACAAGAUACAACCUUUUGGGAUUGCUUUUUUCACUCAGCACAAAUCUCUGAAUAGUCAUCUAGGUUGUUGCAUUAACAAUUUUUUUUAAAUUACUGAGUAAUUUCCCAAGAAAUGGAAGUACCACAGUUUGCUUAACCAUUCACUUUUUGAAGGACAUCUGGAUUGUUUCCAGUUACUGACUACUAUAAUUAAAACUACUACACAUAUUUUUGGGUAACCUUUUGGGUGGGUAUAAGUUCCGUUUCUGUGGGAUAAAUGCCCAGGUCUCCAGGUUCCUUAUUUGGCCUCUGUUGACUCUCAAGUUGUAGCAGGGAGUCUGUCUCCAACUGCUAGGGUUGGGACUUCCAACUCCACACGAGGUGUCUGCUGGUAACUCACUGACUGCGAUGGAUAUGAGUGCCUUGUCAUGGCUCCCUAAAUGGCCUCUACUAAUAAUACCACCACAACUACCAACACUACUAAAGUCAUGUGGACUCUGCUAACAGUAAGGUGGACUCCUUACCACCCAGUGAGAAUGAAACUACCAAUUCCUUACUCAGCUUUCCCAGACGUUACCCUGGAAGGAAGGGUCAUAACACCCUCUUUCCAUAGAGGGUCCUGCCACACACCAAGGAGGAACGAAUGCUGCGCAGUGAGGCCAAGAGGAGUCUAGACAGACAGGCCUUGCUGGGUUUCCCAACUCUAUUGGCAGUAGAUCAUUCUCUUUUUGCCCAAUCGUAUUUGUACAUGGCUGUCCAUAUUUUGUCGACCCUAAGCAUUAAAAUGUACAAUUCCUCUGUAUCUUUGGAUCUUCAUUCUGAAGGCUCCUGUGUUAUGUAAAACUAUGAUCAAUUAAAUUUGUAUGCCUUUUCUGUUAUUAAUUUGACUCUUGUCAGUGACUUUUAACACAUCUUCAGAAGUUGAAGGUAAAGCUUUCC